GUCCAUGCCAUACCAUUCUGGGUAUUUGUGACUUCGUCUGAUCUCACACGCUAAGCAGGGUUGGGUCUAGUUAGUCCUUGGAUGAGAGACACCAAAAUGGAGAAAAGAUGGCUUUGGGGU
rnacentral:rRNA from 1 species